rnacentral:rRNA from 1 species
GGAUUAGAUACCCGGGUAGUCCACGCCCUAAACGAUGCAUAUUUGGUGUGGGCAGUUCAUUCUGUCCGUGCCGGAGCUAACGCGUUAAAUAUGCCGCCUGGGGAGUACAGUCGCAAGGCUGAAACUCAAAGGAAUUGACGGGGGCCCGCACAAGCGGUGGAGCAUGUGGUUUAAUUCGACGCAACGCGAAGAACCUUACCUGGGCUCGAACGGCUUCUCAACGACUGUGGAAACAUGGUUACCCCGCAAGGGGGUGGAGUCGAGGUGCUGCAUGGCUGUCGUCAGCUCGUGUCGUGAGAUGUUGGGUUAAGUCCCGCAACG